CCUUCCUCUCCUCUUCCCCUUAAAGCGGCAACCAAUCCUUCCAGGAGCGAGAGGUGGCCCCACGCUAGGUCCAGGACUUUGGGCGGGGAGGAAGCUGGGUUGGCGGCGUCCGUGCGGGGGCGUCGGAGCGGGAGGGCCAGAGACCAAAUCAAGGGCCCGGAGGUAACUGUGAGUCCAGGGCUCUGGUGGGAGUUGGGUGAUCGCCUAGUCCCUUUGAUUGGACUGUGUCCGCUCUCCUGGAAACUUGAGACAGACCCCCACCGUGAUACAGGAAAAUAGGGAAGCUAGGCUUGGCCUCCAAGACUGCUACUAUGGAACAAAGGAAGAGCACCAACUACAUACAGUCUGCUGAACACUUCAAGUUAUGCUAAUCACAACAUAGGAUGAGCAUCCCUAAUCCAAAAAUCCCAAGUUCAAAAUGCUACAAAGUCCACAACAUUUUGAACACAGACAUGACAUCACAAAUGAAAAAUUCCACACCUGACCUCAUGUGAUGGGUUGCAGUCAAAACACAGGAAAGAGAAGCCCAGCCAGGGCUGGAGAGGUUGAAGAAGGAGCGAGAAGCUGAGAAGUGGGAGUCUGGCCAUCUGGGAGGGACUGGGAAUACUUUCCACCCUGAGCAACGCUUCCUGGCAACGUCUGCCCACAGAGGGCUUGCCUGGUGUCCUCCCUUCCUCAGCCAUAGAGUCCUUUCCAAGGCUCACUACAUGUAAAGCAGCUGGCAUCUCCUUACAAGGACUCCUAGGCGACGUUACGACCCCUAAGUACAGAAGAGCAAAUAGGAUUCAGAGAACUUAUGUGAAUGCCUCAAGUUGGCACAGCUCUACAGUGGAACAACCAGGUCCCAACCUGGGGCAGGACAUUUCCAGCUCAUCCCAGUUUGCGCCACCCUCACUGGAGGUGCUCGGAGGUUCUGGACUAUUAGUGUAAGAGUGAUACCUGCAUACACAUGCCAUUCUCUCUGAAUUUUUAAAACAAAGAAGCAUGUAUGAAUAGAAAAUGAAUCACCUUUCCUUUAUCAUUCUCUUUAUUCUGAAUGGAUUUGAGGACCAGGUGAGUUCUCAGACAGGUGAGUGGGAUUUGAACACAGUUGGAUUGGCUAGCAUUGCAUACAUAAUGGUGUUUGUGACUAUUGUGCC
rnacentral:lncRNA from 1 species